CAGAGUCUGGAUCAAUCUAGUGGCCAGCCAGAUUGGUCGUGGAGGGGAGCAGGGCUUUAUCAGUCGCGAUCUGAUGUUCUUGGAGUGUGGCAAGACGAACCCAAAGUCCCAUGGCUAAGCACCCUGUUCUUGAUACCGAUGAUGAUUGGUAACUUUCUGCCAUUCAGUGCCAAGAUUGAUAGAGAACUCAGCUAAAUGAAUGCUUACAGAAAACUUUAAUGUGGCUACUCUUCUGAUGUCUGGGAGAAGCGUGACAAUGGAAAAAUGGACAGAGCUCCUGCCUACAGACUCUCGUGAUGAGUUUUCCGUGCUUAUAGAGGAAGGCAAAUUGAUUUCUCGUGCGUCCCUGCAGGCAGCCUUGGACUCGGCGUAUGCGGCCUCUCGCACCAUUGCUUCAGGGGUGGCUAUGAGAAAGAGUUCCUGGUUGCAGGUCUUGGGCCGACCAUACGAGGUGCAGCACACAAUUCAGGAUUUCCCCUUCGAGGGUCAGUCUCUGUUUUCGGAAAAGACUGAUUCCCAUCUCCACAGCCUCAAGGACUCUCGGGCCACCCUGAAGUCCUCGGUCCUCCACACGCCUGUGACCCAGAGGAGGCACUUCAGGCCUCCCCGACCCAUGAGGAAUUAUCAGCUGCAGGGGAGACAGGAAGGGUCGCAUAGGAGGAACAGGAACUCAAGAAAAAUACCUCCUCUCUCCUCUGGCCAGGGCUCUGGUCAGUCUAAGCCCUCCUCAGGCCGGGAGAAUGCACCAGUUCAGAGACUGGAUCCUCCCUGCUUACCUUUUUGUUCCAUCUAGCCCCUUUCUACCCUGUGUGGGACCGUAU